ensembl:lncRNA
AAGAGUAAAAGGGUUUAGUGAUACAAGUGAUGCUGACAGAUGUGUGCGGCUCUCAAGCUAAACGCUAAUCUCAACAUGCUAAAAUGACAAUGCUAACAGAUUGAUGAUUAAUAACUAUAUUUUUUACUUUACUUAUUUUUAUAGCCCAAAAUACAACAUCAGAUGGAAUGAACCACAGCUUUCCAUCACCCCUUUUUAACUCACAGAAAGAACAAUACCAUCAAGCCCAUUGAGCUCCUAAAUAUAUUAAAACACAUCAACGCUCCUUAGUAUAUGUUCCCUUAUUACCAUCGACACUCACACUGAGAUUUAUUGAGUCCCACAUAAAUGUUCCUGAUUCCCGAUUCACCGUCCUGCUGCCAAAACUCUCACUAGAGCAACACAUGCAGUAAAUAGUCCCCAACAAAUGCGUCUUCUUUUCUUUUCUUCGUUUUCAGACAUUCUCUCUCCCUCUUGAUAAAAUCCAUAGUGUUCAGUGACUUAGUUGUUCAUGUGAGACAUUGAGAAGAUGAAAAAAAUGGCUAAGCAUGGCAGUUUAAACCGUUCUCAGCUCUUCACUGCGGGGUGAAUGUUGGUCACAGAAAUGGUCAUCGCAGAGCUCCAAAUGUGACACGGGAAGAAAAAGGCAGCUUAAAACUUACUGAUGCAUUCAAGGAUAAACUCUACACUAAAUCAUGUCCGUGUCGAAAUCAUUGGAACGGGUUAAGAGGUGUGAUCAAGUGGGAACAGUUGAACUUGGGACCACACAGGGAGUAAAUGAGCAAAUGUGAUUAAUAAAGCUGGCGUUCAUUAAACCUCAACCUGCUGAUACUGCAGUUCUCCUUCUAAUAAUGUGUUCAUCCUUCUCCCGCCUCUGUUCAGCUUGUGCCAUGCCGCACUGGGUUGUGGUGGUUUCCCUUCCAUCAAUAGAGUUGCUCACAUAGUAACACUCCUUGGUUGGGCUUGUGUGAGCAUUGUGCUGCUGUUUACUGACUGAAGAUAUUAGCGGAAUAGCAUAUUCAUAAAUAGGAAUGUAGGAAUUGUGAAAAAUGACUAGAUUACCAAUUAAUAAUCUUAUCUAAAUAUGGGUUAAACUACUGUAAAUAUAUGAAAUACCUGUAAUUACUUGUGCACAAGUUGUGGUGCUCAGUGGCUGGAGCUGGUUAUCAGUAAACCACAAGGGUGUUUACCUGCUUCGUAUUGUCUGUACACAUUGAGUGAGACACUCGCUGUUCAACCCUGAAAUGUCACUGCUUCAACUGUUGCGACUAAAGGGACAGAGAUUUACCAAUGACCUGAUGGAGACUAAGUAUCGCAGCUCUAAAGAUGUAAAUUAGCUAUUUUUGGCACCAAUUUAUAGAAUUAUAGUGAGAUGAUUGGUGUUUUAAAGCUUGUUACAUUUUCCCCAAGUGGACAAUAACUAUAUUCGUAGUUUCUAAACUGGGCAGAAAUAAAACGUUAUGUGUUUUCACAAAAGAUAUAGAAAUAGAUUGCACAAGGAAAAAUGUGGAGAUAUUGAACAAAGAAGCAGGGAGGCUUACAAUAAUAUCCAAAAGAUUAGCUCCAUGGCUAUGAGACAGACAAUUAAACUUUCCAGGGCUUACUUUACACAGGAAGGGGCAAAAAACAGCACCUGCUUUGCCAAGCGUGGGAAGGGAGGAUGGCAGUGAGGAUGGCAGUAAAGAUUCCAGUUAGAUUGUUGGUGACGAUGCCGGUGACAAGACAAUGCCAUUGAGGAUCUCAGGGAGGAUGUCAAUGAAGAUGCCAGGGAGGAGCUCAGGGAGGAUGUCAGUAAAGAUGCCAGUGAAGAUGCCAGUCAGGAGCUCAGGGAGGAUGUCAGUGAAGAUGCCAGGGAGGAUGCCAGUGAAGAUGCCAGUGAGGAGCUCAGGGAGGAUGCCAGUGAAGAUGCCAGGGAGGAUGCCAGUGAAGAUGCCAGUGAGGAGCUCAGGGAGGAUGCCAGUGAAGAUGCCAGUGGGGAGCUCAGGGAGGAUGUCAAUGAAGAUGCCAGUGAGGAGCUCAGUGAGGAUGUCAGUGAAGAUGCCAGGGAGGAUGCCAUUGCAGUAUGCAGAUGGAUUAUAGAAGUAUCCAGGGGAGAGAAUUGGGCAGGGGGGGGGGGGGGGGGUAAAAAGAUGAGGGGAGAACAUAAAAAGAGUGUAGAUACACUGAGACAAGACCAGAUAUGUAAAGAGACCACAAUAUAAUGCA